rnacentral:lncRNA from 1 species
CACUCCUCCCAAGUGUUCAAUGUUAACCAGAUGGCAAAGUUAACCAGACAGAGGAAAUCCACAUAAUUACUCUAGAUGAAGCCCCCUAACUGCGGAUUAGAAGGAAAAGAGAUGAAGGGUGCUGCACUAAUAAUAACAACCAUUUUCAACCAAGGCAGGAUUCUGGGCCUAGAAUCUUCAGUGACAAAUUACCAGGAGAGGAGGAGGGAAAUGAAGAGCUGGAGGCCUAGGGAGAUGGUGUGAGGAGAGGAGACUGUGCCUUUCCACUUCUUAAUAAUUAAUGUUCUCCUGCUGCUCUGAGUCUGCAUGUAAGUGGAUUUGUGACCUCUCAGCUGAUGAAAACCAUAGCACAAGAAGAGUAAAAGUGUGCUGCCUUGUUUCUUACUUGCUAAUUAGCCACCUGAGCCCAGGGGGGUUUAUAAGUGGCCUCAAGCCCAAUUACUGAUUUUGUUCCCAGAGGCAGAGAAGGCUUGAGUCAAAUCACCCUGAUUCUCAGGGGAAAGGCAGCACCGAGCAUCCAGGGUACCCUCUAAUGGCCCAGGCCUACUCUUGUCCAGCAAUGUACCACCAAGAUGUUGAACUUUAAAGGACUAUGUCUGACCAGGAAGGACCUGCUGUCUAGAGCUGCCAUUCUGAUUCUUGGAGCUCGUAUACAGAUACAUCCGCAACCAUGGGGCAGGAAACAGAUGUACCAGUGCAGUCAAGACCAAUACCUGCUCAUACCUGUGGCCAAAAGCAUGAUGCCCCAGGCUCUGCCUCCAAUUCUACCAUCUUCUUCCAUCUUUCUCUUUUAUCAGCACCAGUGAUUCAGUUUGAGUCAGACAUCCAACAACAACUGAGCAAAAGAAUCAUCUCAGAUCCAAGCAAUGGUGACGCGCAGAUAGAAGAGACUGAGG